GAAAUGUGGAGGUGUCUGCUGGGGGCUUCAAAGGAGACCCCUCAAGAAAUGCAUUCAGUUCCUACAGCAGCAUCUGCAUUCAGCGGGGAGGGAGCCCUGUAACUCAGACUUGCUGAAAUUGCAGCAACUCCCAGUAAAUCUUAUUUGUGUUUUAAUGCUUAAAAGCUCCAGCAGCUGGGAGAGCCCUCAUUGCAGCAUUGCAGCACCUGGAGCCAGCCUUCGCCGAGCUGAUCCUUGCAGUGCUGGGGCCAUCCAUGCAUGGAAGGGGAGGUGUGGAUGCAGCCUGCCCCUGGAGCAAGCCAGCAAUUCGACCACCAAAAUGAAGGAGCUCUUUGGCCUUAAUCCUGCUUGUGGCUAAGGGAAGAAACCUAGCGCGUCCCCCGUAUUUACCAACGGCGUAACUCUUCACUCCCAAAUAUCGCGUCAAUCCCAAGUUUUCAGAGAUGAACAGAGCAGAACAGCCCUGCAUCAACCCCAAAAACGCCGCCGGAUGAUGAUGAGAGGUGAGGACACUUCAUACACUUCCCAGAUGCCAAGCUCAGGCUUCUCCACGGACGUGGAUUCCCCUGCGUGACCGUGAGCACCCAAUCCUCCCCCAAAAAUAUAAGUUGUCAGGUUGUUAAAUGGAAGGCUCUUUAAAAAAAAAAAUUAUACCUGUAGCAAGCUCGGCAUUUAAAUGCUUGAAAGGGGUGUGUGUGGGGGAAAUAGGAAUGGAAAUAGAGAAGCAAAAACAAUUUGAAGUGGAAGGUUUAGGAGGGUAAAGCACCCUGCACACAACCAGGUCAAAUCCUCUUUGAGAGGCAUCUGGAUGAAGGCUCCCACAGCAUUAAUCCUUUUUAAAAAUCACAGACUCCAGCCAGGGACCUCAGUGGUCCUGGGGAAUAUAUUUCAGUGAAAAUCUCCAAAUCACACAUGUAAAAUAGUUUCCUGGAAAGCGCAGCAUCCCACCCUUCCCUGUGCUUGCAGCGAUGAGGAACCGGCCAGAAAGGCUUCAAGGGCUUGAUUUUGGGAAACGUUGAGUUUUCAGCGCUCGCAACUGAGAUUCACUGAAUUCAACUGGCAGCAUUGCUGGAAAUAAAAGCAGGGGUUUUCUCCA
rnacentral:lncRNA from 1 species